rnacentral:rRNA from 1 species
GACGAACGCUGGCGGUGUGCCUAAUACAUGCAAGUUGAGCGCUGAAGGUUGGUACUUGUACCAACUGGAUGAGCAGCGAACGGGUGAGUAACGCGUGGGGAAUCUGCCUUUGAGCGGGGGACAACAUUUGGAAACGAAUGCUAAUACCGCAUAAAAACUUUAAACACAAGUUUUAAGUUUGAAAGAUGCAAUUGCAUCACUCAAAGAUGAUCCCGCGUUGUAUUAGCUAGUUGGUGAGGUAAAGGCUCACCAAGGCGAUGAUACAUGGCCGACCUGAGAGGGUGAUCGGCCACAUUGGGACUGAGACACGGCCCAAACUCCUACGGGAGGCAGCAGUAGGGAAUCUUCGGCAAUGGACGAAAGUCUGACCGAGCAACGCCGCGUGAGUGAAGAAGGUUUUCGGAUCGUAAAACUCUGUUGGUAGAGAAGAACGUUGGUGAGAGUGGAAAGCUCAUCAAGUGACGGUAACUACCCAGAAAGGGACGGCUAACUACGUG